rnacentral:rRNA from 1 species
UACGGGGGGGGCAAGCGUUGUUCGGAAUUACUGGGCGUAAAGGGCUCGUAGGCGGCCAACUAAGUCAGACGUGAAAUCCCUGGGCUUAACCUGGGAACUGCAGUCGAUACUGGCGGACUAGAGUACGGUAGAGGGUGGCGGAACUCCGGGUGUAGCGGUGAAAUGCGUAGAUAUCCGGAAGAACACCGAUGGCGAAGGCAACCACCUGGGCCUGUACUGACGCUGAGGUACGAAAGCGUGGGGAGCAAACAGG